UACAUCCUCUACCAGCUGAGCCAGCCAGGCGCCUCAUGCUUUGGAUACACCCACCCAUCUUGGUGGUGGGCCACUUGGAGGAAUGAAGGGAGAGGACUGGCAUAUAAUGGGCAAGAGGGCAAUAGCCAAAGGAACAGGAGACAAGCAGGCCGCAUCGUGGUCAGACCCAGGAGACGGAGAAGCCACCUGGAAACACUUGGAGAAACUGAAGUCUCAGGACUUCCCAAAGUGGUUGGAAAUGAGGCGGGGACCAUUUUUUGUAUUGAAAGAAUGACCUUUAAACAUUAAAUUGUUUGGAGUUUC